rnacentral:tRNA from 1 species
AUUUAAAUAGCUUAUUUAUAGAGCAUAGUAUUGAAGAUACUAAGGAAAUAUAUUUUAUUUUUGAAUA